GAAGCUCUUCACUUUCAUCUACAAUAUCCCAAAGGUCUAAAGAUGCCAACAAAAGCUCUAUUUUGACCUUCCAAUGGUAGAAAUUGUCACCUCUAAACUUCUCAAUCACUCUCAAACCUUCACCCUCACUUGAAGCCAUGUCUUAGAAGAGGUCUAUCAAAAAAUAUAAAAAAAAGAGUCUUUAUGUGCUUAAAAUCACUAAAACAAUUUUGUACUAGCAAUAUCUCAAAAUGCCCUCUUUUCAAUAAAUGAAUGUUUCUUCACUCCAAACACUUCCAAAUCAACUUUUGAAGCUU
rnacentral:lncRNA from 1 species